UACGAAGGGGGCUAGCGUUGCUCGGAAUCACUGGGCGUAAAGCGCACGUAGGCGGAUUGCUAAGUCGGUGGUGAAAUCCUGGAGCUCAACUCCAGAACUGCCUUCGAUACUGAGAGUCUCGAGUCCGGGAGAGGUGAGUGGAACUGCGAGUGUAGAGGUGAAAUUCGUAGAUAUUCGCAAGAACACCAGUGGCGAAGGCGGCUCACUGGCCCGGUACUGACGCUGAGGUGCGAAAGCGUGGG
rnacentral:rRNA from 1 species